GAGCGGACAGAUGGGAGCUUGCUCCCUGAUGUUAGCGGCGGACGGGUGAGUAACACGUGGGUAACCUGCCUGUAAGACUGGGAUAACUCCGGGAAACCGGGGCUAAUACCGGAUGGUUGUUUGAACCGCAUGGUUCAAACAUAAAAGGUGGCUUCGGCUACCACUUACAGAUGGACCCGCGGCGCAUUAGCUAGUUGGUGAGGUAACGGCUCACCAAGGCAACGAUGCGUAGCCGACCUGAGAGGGUGAUCGGCCACACUGGGACUGAGACACGGCCCAGACUCCUACGGGAGGCAGCAGUAGGGAAUCUUCCGCAAUGGACGAAAGUCUGACGGAGCAACGCCGCGUGAGUGAUGAAGGUUUUCGGAUCGUAAAGCUCUGUUGUUAGGGAAGAACAAGUACCGUUC
rnacentral:rRNA from 1 species